CCAUCGGUUAGUACAAUAGUCUUACAGUACAUGCUACAGCUAUCUGCAAUACUGGCAGUGCCUUCUCCUACCUUACAUAGAAAUCUCUUUAUUUCACUGCAGAGAUAUCAAGCCAGAUAACAUCAUGCUUGACAAGGAUGGUCAUAUUAAGAUCAUUGACUUUGGCCUCGCUGUGGAUGGAAUGAAUGGAGAUAAAGUAGUCAGUGACCGCACGGGGACUUUUGAAUACAUGGCCCCAGAGGUUCUCCAAGAAAAACCCUACGGGAAGGAAGUGGAUUGGUGGUCACUAGGAGUAACACUCACUGGGAUGGCUACAGGAAGGCAUCCAUUCUAUAAUGGGCCACAUAAACAGCUCUUGUAUAAGGCUGUUCUAAAGGAGAAGCCCACAUUCCCAACAUGGCUAGAGCCAGACGCAAAACAUUUUCUGAAGCAGCUACUGAGAAAGAGGCCGCAAAAACGCCUCGGGGUGUCACAUGACAUACGGGAGCACCCCUUCCUGAAGGACAUCGACUGGGCAGAGAUAGAAAGCAGAAGAGUAAGACCACCAUUCCUGCCAUUUAUGCACGUUCCAGAGCUCCAGGAACAUCCUAGUUUGGAGCUGAAACUGGAAGAUAGCAUGGCAGCUGACCCUAUACCAGGAUUUUCCUUUAUUGGAGACACAGUAAGAUAGACUUCAUAAAUUCCUUCAUGAUUUUGGGCACUCCCAAUUAUUGCAGAAAUAUCAAUGUGACGUAUAAGCCAGAAGAAAUAUGGCAAGGUUUUUUAUCUUAGCUGUAUGUCCGAAUACACAUCUGUGCAGGCACAGACAAAGGCUGUGUUUUCCAAUCUCAUCUACCUAGGCACCUGAUCCGCACAGGAAUAGGACAGCCAUCAGCCAGAACACAGAUUUCUCCAUCUCCACCAAACAUCAGCCUGGCCAAGUCUACUGAGGCCUCUUGGGAUAGCCAUCUCCCAAAACAACAUCUCCCUCUGUCUUCUGAAGCAUUAUCUUAAAAAAGAAUUAUAAAAAAAAUAUA